rnacentral:rRNA from 1 species
CAUGAAGUCGGAAUUGCUAGUAAUCGCAGAUCAGCAUGCUGUGGUGAAUACGUUCCCGGGCCUUGUACACACCGCCCGUCACACCAUGGGAGUCGGUAACACCCAAAGUUGGUAGUCUAACCGCAAGGAGGACGCCGCCUAAGGUGGGAUUGAUGACUGGGGUGAAGUCGUAACAAGGUACC